UUUGGAGUGGUGCCGUUUGAUGAGCUGU
rnacentral:piRNA from 1 species